GUGCCUGCUUCAGCAGUACAUAUACUGAAAUUGGAAUGUUAUAGAGAAGAUUAGCAUGGCCUCUGCACAAGGGUGACGUAAAAGUUCGUGAAGUGUUCCAUAUUUUU